rnacentral:rRNA from 1 species
GAUGAACGCUAGCGGCAGGCUUAACACAUGCAAGUCGAGGGGCAGCAUAAUGGAUAGCAAUAUCUAUGGUGGCGACCGGCGCACGGGUGCGUAAUGCGUAUGCAACCUACCUUUAACAGGGGGAUAACACUGAGAAAUUGGUACUAAUACCCCAUAAUAUCAUAGAAGGCAUCUUUUAUGGUUGAAAAUUCCGAUGGUUAGAGAUGGGCAUGCGUUGUAUUAGCUAGUUGGUGGGGUAACGGCUCACCAAGGCGACGAUACAUAGGGGGACUGAGAGGUUAACCCCCCACACUGGUACUGAGACACGGACCAGACUCCUACGGGAGGCAGCAGUGAGGAAUAUUGGUCAAUGGACGCAAGUCUGAACCAGCCAUGCCGCGUGCAGGAUGACGGCUCUAUGAGUUGUAAACUGCUUUUGUACGAGGGUAAACGCAGAUACGUGUAUCUGUCUGAAAGUAUCGUACGAAUAAGGAUCGGCUAACUCCGUG